ensembl:piRNA 21ur-7276 ncRNA
UUUCUUACGACGAAACAGUAG